rnacentral:rRNA from 1 species
GACAGAGGUGCCAAGCGUUAGGCGGAAUCACUGGGCUUAAAGCGUGUGUAGGCGGACCCGUUAGUGUCUUGUGAAAUCCCAUGGCUCAACCAUGGAACUGCUCGACAUACUGCGGGUCUUGAGCCACUUAGGGGUCAGCGGAACAAAUGGUGGAGCGGUGAAAUGCGUAGAUAUCAUUUGGAACGCCAACGGUGAAAACAGCUGACUGGGAGUGUGCUGACGCUGAGACACGAAAGCCAGGGGAGCAAACGGG